GAAACUCCUUACACAACCCUUACUCUUCCCCCACUUCAUCCCCAAUCCCGUUCAGCCAUAGAGAGAGGGCCGCCCUUCCGCCGCCGUCCGCCGCACCUCUUCCCUCCGCCGCUACAGCACCGUUCUGCCGCCGCCGCUGCCGCACUGCUCCGCAACCGCAGCUGCCGCAUCGCUCCGCCACCGCUGCUGCAGGUAAGUUAAUAUGUGCGUGUAUAUAUAUAUAUAUAUAUACAUAGUGUUUUACCUAAUUAUUGAAGUUAGAUCUACCAAAAAAAAGAGCCGUUGGAUGAUAUUGAGAUUUUUGAGUAUGUUAGUCAAGGUGAUCAGGGAGACCGAUUAUAGAUUCCGAUCACCGAAAAGCACUGGCCAUCGUGGCCAACGGAGUUUCGCCGGAAAAUUUUAAAUAUACCUAAAAUUAAAAUUUAGAUCUACUAAAAUCCAACUGUUGGAUUUCUCUAGUUUUUGGAUAUGUGAUUCACCGUACUUGGGAGAAACUGACGAUCAAUCUUGAAGGUUGGAAUCACCAGCCACAUUCAAUGGGGUUACUUUCCCUUUAUUUUCUCUUCUAUAAUGGGUUCCAAGCAAUGGCUCUCUGUAGGCUUGCAUUUGACUAAAAGGAGACAGGUAAAAAUUCAGUUCUAGUUCUUUUGCAUUACUAUACCACCAGUUCUGAUUUUGCUUUUGCAUAUAUAGAUUGUCUUAUUUUUGGUUUGCUAACUUUCUAGGGUUUCUUCUUAAUCAAAGAACAGAUUUUUGUUACUGCUCCCAAAAUGAAGACUGAAUGUUCUAGUUUUAAUUUUGCAUUUUAAUUCAUUAUUUUGGCAGAUUUCCAUUAAAAACUUUUGUAUUUGUAGGAAGUAUGUACAAUAGCGAACACAGAGAAAUUAACAAUGGUGAAGGAAGGCGGCUUAACCGAGAAGUUGAAGCUGAGGAUGAUGAUGAAGAGGAAGAGGAAAAUGGAAGAGGCCUAAAUGCUUGGGAGCGAGUUUAUGCAGAUGACAGAUCUUGGGAGUCUCUGCAAGAGGAUGAAUCUGGGCUUCUUCGUUCUGUUGACAACAAAACCCUCUACCAUGCACAGUAUCGCAGGCGCCUACGAUCUCUCUCCUCUGCUUCAACUGGUGCUCGAUUUCAAAAGGGCCUCAUUCGCUACCUUUAUAUUGUUGUUGACCUCUCCAGGGCUGCUGCAGAAAUGGAUUUUAAACCAAGCCGAAUGGCUGUAUUGGCAAAACAAAUUGAGGUUUUCAUUAGAGAAUUCUUUGACCAGAAUCCAUUGAGCCAAAUUGGCCUGGUAACUAUUAAAGAUGGAGUUGCGCAGUGUCUAACUGAUCUUGGUGGCAGUCCUGAGUCUCAUAUUAAAGCUCUGAUGGGUAAGUUGGAGUGUUCUGGUGAUUCCUCUCUGCAGAAUGCCCUGGAUCUCGUUCAUGACUAUCUAUGUCAAAUCCCAUCAUAUGGCCAUCGCGAAGUUCUUAUUUUGUAUUCAGCGCUUAGUACUUGUGAUCCAGGGGAUAUAAUGGAAACCAUCCAGAAGUGCAAGAAAUCUAAAAUAAGAUGCUCAGUUAUUGGUCUUUCAGCAGAAAUCUUUAUAUGCAAAUAUCUCUGCCAAGAAACUGGAGGUUCAUACUCUGUUGCAUUGGAUGAGUCCCACUUGAAAGAUUUGUUGUUGGAGCAUGCACCACCACCCCCGGCAAUAGCCGAAUUUGCAAUUGCAAAUUUGAUCAAGAUGGGAUUCCCUCAAAGGGCAGCGGAAGGUGUUAUUUCCAUUUGUUCAUGUCAUAAAGAGGCUAAGGUUGGGGUUGGCUACACUUGUCCAAGAUGCAAAGCACGUGUUUGCGAAUUACCUACUGAAUGUCGCAUUUGCGGUCUGACCCUUGUUUCUUCUCCGCAUUUGGCGAGGUCAUAUCACCACCUCUUCCCAAUAACACCAUUUGAUGAUGUGUCUCCCUCAAUUUCAAAUGAUCCACAUCAUAGGCUACCAAAAAAUUGUUUUGGAUGCCAGCAAAGUCUUCAUGAUCCUGAAGGUAUAGUGGGUUUUCAGCCUUAAAACAACUUGUCUGAUAAAUGUGUCCUCGCUUUGUGUUUCUGGAGUGGUUGAUGACUGAUUUGAAACCGGAAGCAAUCAGGUUGCGAGAGCUUCAGGCAAUCAAAGUCGGCUAAUGAUGCUGAAGAAUGAAUCUCCUGAGCUCUAAUUUGUUUGCCACUCAACGAUGAGUUGCACAAGUUCGUCACUGCAACUGAAUGAUGACUGAUUGCUAUUCAAGAUCCAAUAUUUUUGUCCCGCUCCAAAAAUGCUUUCUGAUUGUUUUCAUGGGUGGAUAUCAAGUACAAGCUCACAAAUCCAUUGCAGAUAACCAGCCUUCCCACUGAACAGAUUGGACCAUUUUUGUGCGACAUUAGAACCGGAAUUCCUGUUACACGUUGAGUUCUGAAUUGCAGUGACCAUUGUCGGAAAUGGGUUCUGUUCUACAAGGGGGGUGAAUUUUCAGCGUUCCUGAAUUGAUUCGCAAAUGGCUGGAUUUGGAAACUUGGAUCAAAAUGCCACAACCUGGAUUUAGUUUCUGAUGAAGGAUGGAUCCGAGUCCUCGGCAGGCUCUGCCACUGUCUUCUUGUAACGAUUUUUUUUAUAAGUUAAUUCCAACACUCUGGUUGAGAUUCGGCCGGGAUUUUGGAACUCUAAACUUAGGACGGUGGUUGUCCUCUGAAUUAGUAUUUGCUUUUGGCAAUGGUGUGGCUGCUGCCCUGGAGAUUUGCUUUGCUGCCUCUUUGGCCAUGAUGUGAGUUCAAAUUAAAUCACUUUUGAGUAGAUAGAAACACAGAAGUGUUUUUUCUUUUUUUGGUACUAAAGUCAAUAAUAAAAAAGUGUUUUCAUUUACUGAA